AGGCAGUUUACGAACCCAGAGCGCACGCUAACACACUGGAGGCAGUUUACGAACCCAGAGCGCACGCUAACACACUGGAGGCAGUUUACUAACGCAUCCUCAGUUGUCAAUCAAAUGCAUUUGUCAUAGAUCAAAUGGGUGGGAAGGCAAGUUCCCAUUCAGUUCUCAAAGCGUGGGUUGGAACAAGCAUGCGUCAAUCGGCAGGCAUCCUGCAGAAGUACGAGCAGGCUACUAUUCCCCAUCGUUUAUAGGUGCAAUUCUGACAAGCAACUAGCUGAAAAAUGUAAUCUAAUGUUCCCUCUUUAGACUUGAGCUCAUCUCGCUCUGGCUAGCAUUAGUUGUUGAUCUUGUUGUUGAUGAUGUGUAUAACUGAGGGAGAGAGAGAACCUAUCUUUUCUUGGAUGUUUUAUCAAUUGGACUGUAAAGUUCCCAAAUGUAAUAGGACUCCUGUGGUAUUUACAUAUUUACAGAAAUCCAUUCAGGUAUAUUUUGUGUUUUUUUUUUGCGAAUGAGAUCAAGUCACUCUGUUGCUACUGCCUGUAAACACACAGUCCAGUUCAUAGUGAAUGAUGACAGGCCCUACUGCCUGUAAACACACAGUCCAGUUCAUAGUGAAUGAUGACAGGCCCUACUGCCUGUAAACACACAGUCCAGUUCAAAGUGAAUGAUGACAGGCCCUACUGCCUGUAAACACACAGUCCAGUUCACAGUGAAUGGUGGCAGGCCCUACUGCCUGUAAACACACAGUCCAGUUCAUAGUGAAUGAUGACAGGCCCUACUGCCUGUAAACACACAGUCCAGUUCAUAGUGAAUGAUGACAGGCCCUACUGCCUGUAAACACACAGUCCAGUUCACAGUGAAUGGUGGCAGGCCCAUAUGGCAAAUGGCUUAUUUGCAUAAAGGCCUACUGUAGCUCUGAUUGGCUAUGGCACACCGGUCUGCAUUGACUCUGGUCCUGGAUGAGACAGGUGUUUUUAAUGAGGGUUUUAUUUACUGCAGUGUCUACUAAUUGUCCAAAACGCACGGCUGCUUUCCCACUCUAUAUUGAUAUAGAAUUUUCACAAAUGCCUUACUCUACGUCAUUCCUAAACAUUCUAUGAUUUUAUGAAAACGUGAAAAUGACGAUAUCUAAGUGCUUGUUUGUCAGAAAAUGUAAAAAAAUAAUAAGAAUAAUAAGAAUACAAAAAUAAAUAUUCUUCCUGGGGGUGUAUAUGAACAGAUUGUAAUACGAUUUCCUGUUGUUAAAAACUCUGUCAGUUCCACUUUAGGCUUACUGUAAAUCCCUAUGACAAGCUGAUGCUAUGGCUGGAGUUUCUCUUGGCUGGGAUAAUGGCUUGGAUCCAGCAAAAGGCCUAGGGCGCUGAUAACUUCACAAAGCUUUACAAUUUUUAUUUUGUAUUCAAGAGUUCAAGAUUGUGCAUUUUCUUAAUAAACAAAGUGCACUUUUUUUGGGGGCAUCAUGAAUGUAAAGCCUGUUAUUGUUUAUUAAUUUCUCUAUUUAUUCAGUGAUAUGUUGUUUUUUUCCGCAAGCAAAACAACCUCAACUUUCUCCCGUGUCACUUGAUUGAAUUGUAUCUCGUCACUCUUGAAUGUUUUCUGGGCUGCUGCUUGUGUUGCUGUCACACUUUCUUCUGUUAGAUCUCUGUAAGUAUCAAGCACUCUAUAUUUGCAUCCCAAAUGGUACCCUAUUCCCUAUAUAGUGCACUACUUUAGACCAGAGACCUAUUCCCUAUAUAGUGCACUACUUUAGACCAGAGCCCUAUUGUCUUUACUUUAUUCUCUUUCUCUCUCACCACAGGGCUUCAGUAAAAUACACCACCAACACCGCCCAUCACCACAGGGCUUCAGUGAAAUACACCACCAACACCACCCAUCACCACAGGGCUUCAAUAAAAUACACCACCAACACCACCAUCACCACAGGGCUUCAGUAAAAUACACCACCAACACCGCCCAUCACCACAGGGCUUCAGUAAAAUACACCACCAACACCGCCCAUCGCCACACGGCUUCAGUAAAAUACACCACCAACACCACAGGGCUUCAGUAAAAUACACCACCAACACCGCCCAUCACCACAGGGCUUCAGUAAAAUACACCACCAACACUGCCCAUCACCACAGGGCUUCAGUAAAAUACACCACCAACACCGCCCAUCACCACAGGGCUUCAGUAAAAUACACCACCAACACUGCCCAUCACCACAGGGCUUCAGUAAAAUACACCACCAACACCGCCCAUCACCACAGGGCUUCAGUAAAAUACACCACCAACACUGCCACAGGGCUUCAGUAAAAUACACCACCAACACCGCCCAUCACCACAGGGCUUCAGUAAAAUACACCACCAACACCGCCCAUCACCACAGGGCUUCAGUAAAAUACACCACCAACACCGCCCAUCACCACAGGGCUUCAGUAAAAUACACCACCAACACCGCCCAUCACCACAGGGCGCCCAUUAGUGACAUGUAUAGCUAUAACCAUAUAGAUAUAAAUAUAUCUCUAUCAGGAUUUGGGUCAAUUCCAUUUAAAUUCCAGCCAAUUCAAGAAGUACAUUGAAAUUCCAAUUCUCUUCAAUGCUUUUUUUCAACAAGGAUUUGGAAUUUGGGAACUUGAUUUUUACUUUAAUGAAUUGACUGGAAUUUAAAUGGAAUUGACACCAACCCUGAUCUCUGCAAAUAUAAUGCUCUGAUUAUGCUUAUUAAAAAAACAAAAAACGUUGUAUGUACUUUGUCUGAGGCCCGGGUAUGUCUGAUCCAUGAGAAUUAUCACCAGAAUAUGUGCUGCAGUUGUUCAAGGUGAAACCUGUCUAUUUGUAUAGCCUGCUUGUGCUAUCAUACCAACUCCUUGGCAUUCAUUGUCAAUGCCAAGAGGACAACGGGUACAAAGCAGGAUCCAUCAGAUCAAACCUAAAUAUUCCGAUUUUAUAUAUAUAUAUAUAUAUAUA
ensembl:lncRNA